CGGACGAACGCUGGCGGCGUGCCUAACACAUGCAAGUCGAGCGGGGUUGAGGCGAGAGGUAACUCGAGCUUCUACCUAGCGGCGGACGGGUGAGUAACGCGUGGGCAACCUGCCUCAAGGUUUGGGAUAACAGCCCGAAAGGGCUGCUAAUACCGGAUAUGCCUAUGGCCUCGCAUGGGGCUAUGAGCAAAGGGGAAACCCGCCUUGAGAUGGGCCCGCGUCCCAUCAGCUAGUUGGUGAGGUAACAGCUCACCAAGGCGACGACGGGUAGCCGGCCUGAGAGGGUGACCGGCCACACUGGGACUGAGACACGGCCCAGACUCCUACGGGGGGCAGCAGUGGGGGAUCUUGCACAAUGGGCGAAAGCCUGAUGCAGCGACGCCGCGUGAGCGAAGAAGGCCUUCGGGUUGUAAAGCUCUGUCUGGAGGGACGAACAAAAUGACGGUACCUCCGGAGGAAGCCACGGCUAACUACGUG
rnacentral:rRNA from 1 species